UCAUUACAGUCUACGUGUGUAUUUUCUAUCAUGACAGGUAUUGACGGACACGAUGAAAAGGAUAACACAUUGGCCACGGGACAUUUGAAGAAGACAAAUCAGUUACAGAAGAUGACCAAAGUUGCUAAAAGUAAAAAGGGAGGGAGGAAGCUUUACACCUUUUCUACUCCAUACAGCCAGUCCACGAUUAAUCAGUCCACGGAGACCUCAGACCCACCUCAACUGACCCAGACACUGGAAAAUGACAAAGGGUAUUUCAUUGACAUGUGCGAUAUAUUAGGUGGGACUACAACUACACACGGGAAUCUUAUACCCGAAGAAAGGGUAACGUCAUGGACGAAAAAACAUUCUCGAUGUCCCAAGGAAACUGCAAACUAUGGAGGUACAUGUAUACAAAUGAAAAGUGAGAAACGGAGAAUGACGACAUCGACCAUUGUAGUGGACGGGUUAGGGAUUGCUGUGCAUCAGAAGCUAGUGUCAGCUUCUGUAACGCAUUCAUCUAACCAAUCAAGAAGAACUGCUGAUAAGAAAAUGAUGAACUUGAACGUUCUUGGAACCAUUUUCAAAAUGAAACACGAGUUGGACAUUAUACGAGAACGCCGGCUUGUAUUGGCAAAGAAACAACGCAAUACAUCAACGACGCAAGAGGAAUGACCUUCAUGUAUGAUUCACGCUUCUUGUCAUGGAUAACGAGGAACGAAACACAAUUUAGCACUGCAAUGAGGAUGUACUUAAAAAAAGAAGAGCCCCAUUUGACAUUAGGCUAGUCCUAGUAGCAAACAGUAAUCCUGACCGCUUUUAUAUGUUUUGUUGUAUCUGGAUCAGUUAUGGCCCAUAGGGCGAAUGAUUACAGGUGCAACAUGUGGUGGAAGAAAUGACGGAGAAGGACAUUCCAAAAUAAAA
rnacentral:misc_RNA from 1 species